GACAUCAAACAAUUUCUUAACUAAAAUUAAUAAUCUAUCUCCUACAAUCAAACAAACCAACUUUGGGACAUGUUCCCCCUUACUACGGUAGGUGAUCCAUCACACACAUCUCAUUCAAACCCUAAUUUCUCCACUUCUACCACCAAUCUUCCCAAAUCACCUAAACACCUUUCCUCUCAAUCCUUCCUCAUCCUCCAGCCACCAACUCUGCAAUUUCAAUAUUUACCAUCUUUAUCCCCCAUCAACAUACUCACUUCAUAUUCUAGGGUUUCUGCGAGAGAAUGAAGCGACAAAAGUGAAUGUGCAGAUUAUGUGUGUGUACGAGGAUGAUACAAGAACAGAGGGUUUUAUAAGUGUGAGUGAGGAAGGGGGUGUCGUUGAGGCUGUGGUGUGACCGAGAUUCGUCGUCGGCCGGAGUGCAUUCUCCGGUGAUCGGGGUUAGAGAAAAAAGGGGAUUGUGCGGUUGAUGUAUUCUAUUUAGGGUUUUUAAGGAUAUGAGUUGAGGGUUGAUUUGGAUCUGUACUCGAGGAGAUUACAGAGAAUGAAGAAUGAAGAACGAAGUUGUACAAUGAAAAGGAAAGAGGAAAAAACGCAUGAAGAUGAGUGAUUCAGAUGAUAAGGGGAUACAUUUAUUUCUCCUUAUCCUGUUGCUUUUGUUGGAGGAAAGCUUGAGAUUUGCAGCUGCAACAGUUCUCUUUGUGUCCAAGUGAAGGGAGCCAUUCUAAGCAUGCCUUGUAGAGAAGCAGGCUUAGAUCUUCUUCAGUCAAAUUUGGGAUAACAAAGUUAAUUCAACUAAAAAUCUUAUUGCAAGUAAAUAAGCUAGUUAAAUUGGAAGUUGGAGCCUUGGGAAGUUAAUGCAUUUUCUGCUCUAAAGGAUAGUGUUGUAACAUUGUUAAUGCAGCCUUGAUUUAUAAACUUUAGUAGCACUAUUCAUAUUGUUAGAAUGUACCUUGUCGGAUUCGAAUUGACUGUGGUUGAUGAUCUUAACACUGUCAGCAGGUAUUUUUUCCAUCAGUUUAGAGAUGUAGGCUGUAAAACAACACAUAAUUGAUGUGAUAAUUUGUAUGCACCUUUUCAGUGGAUCGGAUGCUCCUGCUCCAUACGAUCAUAAAGAAAAUCUAAAAUGAACUUCACCCAUGAUCCUCGUUAUAUAGAGAAACAAAUAAACUGCAAAUAACUGACAACAUGUUUUUAGCUACACGUUUUUUUGUAAACUGCAAGUAACUGACAUGUUUUUAGCUACACGUUUUUGUAAACUGCAAUUUAUCAGCACUGAUGGGGCAGUUAAUCUGCGAUUAUUGCGCUCACUGCACAAAUUAUUUCGGUAACUGCAUCUAAGUGGGAGAGAUAUUGUGGAACUGCUGCUAACUGCUGUAUUUUCGGUUAUUUUUUUGAGUUUACACGGCUGAGAUUUAAUCUCAGCAAGAUCUAACGGUGGAGAUGGAUUUGGGAGGUGGUUAGACUUAAUGGGUUC
rnacentral:lncRNA from 1 species